GUGCCUUGUUAGAUCACCUCUAUUUCUAGCUCGCUGAGUAAAAAGAGCAUUUUUUACAGCCUAGUUUGAUAAGUAAAAGGUAUCUUUCUCACCUGCUUGCACUCUGAAUUGUCACUAUCGUGCUUUGUUCCUUUGCAUGCGGCUGUUGUCAGCUUCCGAGUCACAGAACCACUUGCAGGAACGGCUCGGGAGAGUUUUGGAAGAAAGGAGAGGGAAAAAAGGAGCUGCAUUUUUAUUUAACAGAAGAAGGAGAACAUAAAGAAAAGAAAGGUGUUCUCAAGAAUGUAGCCCGCAGCCUUGUCAGGUAGCAUUUCUUCAGAUGUUUUUUUUUUCUCCCCUUUCCCACCCCAAGAUCUCUCUUCAUCAUUUUUUUAAACAUCUCUUCUGGGACAGGGACAUGAAAGUGAAUUGUUGGUCAAAGUCAAGAAUUAGGGGUUGCCGGGGCUGCUUUCUGAUGGCUUUACUUUAUCUUUGUGUCCAAGCUUUUGCCAGUCAGCAGGUACCGCGGGUUAUCCAUUCCAGUCACAUCAUUUUCUGCUUGAUGACAAGCAUCACACCUUCAUCCAUCACAUUUACAUUUCAAACUGCCACACUGCUCUAUUGAUUAAUUAUUUAGCAGCUCUUGGCCACUUGCGAGUGUUUCUGUGCUCACGUUUCACUGAGAAGGUCCGUUCUUUUUAUUUGUGUACUGUUUUGUAAAGCAGAAAAAAUAUGUAAUGCCUUUAGCACACCCACCCGCGUGCAUGUAUGCUAAUAUAUACGACACGGCAAUAUAUAUGCAUAUGUGUGUGCAUGUUUAUGCGUGCGUAUGUGCGUGCAUCGGUACAAUUAAGUAUACACAAGGAGUGAGAGCAGGUAAUCUGAUCAAUAAGCACAUGCUCACACUGAUAAUAGGUUUCUGAGUUGUCAGAGACCUGAACAGACGAUCAAUGAGACCUUGCAGGUGUGCUGGAGCCGGGAAUUGGAUCAGCUACAUCCCUGCAGACCAGUGGGAAACUUGCACAUCAUCCUCUGGGCUCUGUCACUCAGAACAAAAAAGGCUGAAAGUCUUUUGCAGGUGCUUGAUAAUGUUUAUGUUUCUUUCACAUCACAGGCAGGAAAAGGGCAGCCUCUACACAAGAGCCAAGGAGAUCUGGUUCCAUCUAGGCCUCCAUUAUCCCAGGCAAAUCACUUCAUCUUUCUUUUCCUCCGUUCUCUUUUGGUGAAAUGGAAAUCCUGUGGCAUCUGGAAAAUAAAUCCACUACUCUGAUGGGAAAGCUGGCUACCCAAAGCACAGAGCAUUUAAAAGCAAAAUACUUCAGUGUCUUCAAGCACGAGACCUCCCACAAGCUCACAGUGAAGUGCACCUCCUAGCCGCUAAUGCAGCUGCAUUUCAGCAUUCUAAUAGGUAUCAGAUGAACGCUGAAGUUGAAAACAACGCAGCCACAUUCUGCCACAUCCUCAAGAAACCAAACAGCACUUCGUUGAUAGCAAUUGGAGAAUGGUCUAAAUGCAGUAGCCUCAGGAACAACGAGCUACAUGAGAACGAAGUUUAGGAAACUCCAAGUGAACAGUCUACAUAAAACAGUGACAAGAACACCUCUGAAUAUUAUUGAAUGAAAAAUCAAUUCCCACAGAAUCCUUUACCAUAAAAAAUCACUACAUCACAAAUCUUGUCAAAUUAUUCUUAAAGUUUAAUUCAGCACUUCUGUGAAAGUGAUUCAAUUGAUGGCGGCAGAGGGGCAGUCUGACACAAUAGCUUGUGACAUAGAAGUGUGGAUGAAGUGAAGGUUUACCACUGAAUUCCUCCAUGAGGAAAAAAUGGCACCAAUGAUAUUCACUGACACUUGCUGAAUGCUUAUGGACACCAAACAGUGGAUGUGAGCACAAUGAGGAGGUGAGUGGUGCAUUUCAGCAAUGGUGAUGGUGAUGUGAAAGACAAGGCAUGUUCUGGAUGGCCAUGCG
ensembl:lncRNA